GUAGGUCAAAGUUGUAUUUCACUAUUUUGUGGUUUAGGGUAUGUACAUGAUUUUUUUUAGGCUGUAAAAUGACAUUUAAUUAAUCUAAUAUAGGGUAUCUAGAAGUUAGAAUGUUAUUAAAUCUUGCUUUAAUGUAAUUGGUUCCCGAAAUACGUGACAUAUGAACAAUUGAAAUUAUGGCUGACGAAUUUAUUUUUUAUUUUAUUUUUAAAUUGAAAAGUUAGAAAGUUAAAUACUGUUUGACUAUAAAUGAAAAGGAAAAAAAAGUGACUUAUGAUUGGUUACAAAUAUGGCAGGUGAGUUAAUUAUAAUUUUAUCUAAAAGCAGUGACAUUCUCUUGUAAAUAAUUUUAGAAAUGACAAAUCUAUUUGUUCAAUCCAUCUAUAUUUGAUAAAUAUUUUGUGACCCGUAGCAAUAAACCAAAGGAAAUCUGACAUAUAGUUACGUAAUGUUAGCUGUUGUGGUAAAUGUAUUCAAGUAAAACUAUUGGUGUGAUAUAUAUAAUAUUAAGUAAACAAAGUCAUCCUAUAAAAGAAAAUUCAAAAUAAUUAAUAUUGUUAAGCAUAAAUAUAGAAAUGGCAUGCCAUUGUACAUAACUUCAAAAGGUUAAGGCAUGGAUUAUGCUUUAAUAGUAUAUAUGU
rnacentral:lncRNA from 1 species